rnacentral:misc_RNA from 1 species
GAUGCGCGGGGGUGGGCGG